ANGGNNGCUUCCAUGCAGUCGUACGAGAAUUUUUAAUUCAAGUGGCGGACGGGUGAGGAACACGUAAGAAUUUGCCUUUAGGAGGGGGACAACAACUGGAAACGGUUGCUAAUACCCCAUAUGCUUUUGAGUGAAAUGGAUUUUUCCGCCUAGAGAGAAGCUUGCGGCUGAUUAGCUUGUUGGUGAGGUAAUGGCUUACCAAGGCGACGAUCAGUAUCUGGUUUGAGAGGACGAUCAGACACACUGGAACUGAGACACGGCCCAGACUCCUACGGGAGGCAGCAGUGGGGAAUAUUGGACAAUGGGGGCAACCCUGAUCCAGCCAUGCCGCGUGUGUGAAGAAGGCCUUCGGGUCGUAAAGCACUUUCAGCGAGGAGGAAGGGAUGUUGAUUAAUACUCAGCAUUUUUGACGUUACUCGCAGAAGAAGCACCGGCUAACUCCGUGCCAGCAGCCGCGGUAAUACGGAGGGUGCAAGCGUUAAUCGGAAUUACUGGGCGUAAAGCGCGCGUAGGUGGCGAGGUCAGUCAGCUGUGAAAGCCCCGGGCUCAACCUGGGAAUUGCAACUGAUACUGCCUGGCUCGAGUACGGUAGAGGGGUGUGGAAUUUCCUGUGUAGCGGUGAAAUGCGUAGAUAUUGGAAAGAACACCGAUGGCGAAGGCACUUUACUGGGCUAUUACUAACACUCAGAGACGAAAGCUAGGGUAGCAAAUGGGAUUAGAUACCCCAGUAGUCCUAGCCGUAAACUAUGGAUACUAGAUGUUGGACAGAUCGACCUGUGCAGUAUUAAAGCUAACGCGUUAAGUAUCCCGCCUGGGAAGUAUGCUCGCAAGAGUGAAACUCAAAGGAAUU
rnacentral:rRNA from 1 species